AUUUCAACAAAAGCAGAAAAAAAAGAGAAGAAGAGCAAUAACAACGAGUAUUCAUGAAAAAAAGUUUGUAUCUGUGUUAAGAUAGUACUUUAUUAAUUCUUUUUUUUUUUUUUUUUUUUUUUUUUUUUUCUUUUAGAGUAACAUUCAAAAAGAUAUUUCAAAUUAAUAAGAUAUUGGCAAUCAAGAACUUUCUAUAUAGGUAACAAUACAUUCAAUA
rnacentral:ribozyme from 1 species